UACGUAGGGGGCGAGCGUUGUCCGGAUUCAUUGGGCGUAAAGAGCUCGUAGGCGGCUUGGCAAGCCGGGUGUGAAACCUCCAGGCUCAACCUGGAGACGCCACCCGGGACUGCUAUGGCUAGAGUCCGGUAGGGGAUCACGGAAUUCCUGGUGUAGCGGUGAAAUGCGCAGAUAUCAGGAGGAACACCGGUGGCGAAGGCGGGACUCUGGGCCGAUACUGACGCUGAGGAGCGAAAGCGUGGGGAGCGAACAGG
rnacentral:rRNA from 1 species